AUUAGAUAAAACACAAUGGGAAUCAAGUCCCAUUGGAAUGAUGGCAAUUAAAUCCAGCCUAAAGUCAAUAAUCAGGUCAUAGAUUACAAUAUUGUAUAGGUGUCACCAGUUUCAAGGCCCACCCUCUUUGCCAAGCCCAUGGACCAAACUAGAGGAUAUAAUCAUUGAAUGGAAACACACUACCUUUGAAUAUAUAUUGUCACGCAUCAAGCACGGUUCCAUUCCCUGGUCUGACCAGAUUUCCUUCUAACUGGCAAUAUUUCAAUGGCUUUCUACAAGAUGGGUCAACCAUCGAGAUGGGUGUGGGGGGUCCUUCUGUGCCUUACCAUUUCUACAACUCCAGGUUCAUCUGCAGAUUCAGUAGACCCUGCCACAUUUGACACUACAACUCUGGCUUUGGCAAUCGAGAUAACCAAUGUGGGCUUCACUGCCUCCCUGCAGAAUUGUCACUCAGAGAACUCCAAGUGGAUGGAUGCAGAAGUGAAAAUGCUGCUUGACGGCGUUUACAAAUGUAACGAUUGCGCUACAAAACUAACCUACGGAGGUGUUGAGUGCAUAACCUACAGAUCCGGACUGAUAGCUAACGCGUCUAUCAUCUUCGAAACAGAUGCAAUCAACCCAUAUAUUGUCCGUGUACUCUUUGAGCAAAAUAUUGCAACAGCCCUACUCCAAACGAAACUCAUUGUGAACAAGGAAUACACAAGCAACUCGCUGCCGAUCUUAUUGGAAAAAGAUUUUUGCUAGAGAACAACUUAAACUCCUGAGCCAACUUCAACUAAAUGUUGACAGUUUUGAUUUUGUUAUAAUCAUAGUCACAGGAAAAGUCAGCCUCCAAUCAACUGUAUCAAUCAUUAAAACAAAGUCCUCAUCUUCAAUCAUUUUGUCUGGUUAUCCU